GCUGGGCGCGGUGGCUCACGCCUGUAAUCCCAGCACUUUGGGAGGCUGAGGCCGGUGGAUCAUCUGAGGCCAGGAGUUCAAGACCAGCCUGGCCAACAUGGUGAAAACCCGUCUCUA
ensembl:misc_RNA Metazoa_SRP Metazoan signal recognition particle RNA